rnacentral:rRNA from 1 species
GAUGAACGCUAGCGGCAGGCUUAACACAUGCAAGUUGAACGGUGAAGCAGGAGCUUGCUCUUGUGGAUCAGUGGCGAACGGGUGAGUAACACGUGAGUAACCUGCCCCAGACUCUGGGAUAAGCACUGGAAACGGUGUCUAAUACCGGAUACGAGCUUCAACCGCAUGGUUAGGAGCUGGAAAGAAUUUCGGUCUGGGAU